rnacentral:rRNA from 1 species
CCUACGGGAGGCAGCAGUGGGGGAUAUUGGACAAUGGGGGACACCCUGAUCCAGCGACGCCGCGUGAGUGAAGAAGUAUUUCGGUAUGUAAAGCCCUAUCAGCAGGGAAGAAAGAAAUGACGGUACCUGAGUAAGAAGCCCCGGCUAACUACGUGCCAGCAGCCGCGGUAAUAAGCAGGGGGGAAGCGUUAUCCGGAAUUACUGGGAGUAAAGGGAGGGUAGACGGGAAUGUAAGUCUGGAGUGAAAGGCGUGGGCCCAACCCCCGGACUGCCGUGGAAACUGGGUAACUGGAGUGCAGGAGAGGCAGGCGGAAUGCGUAGUGUAGCGGUGAAAUGCGUAGAUAUUAGGAGGAACACCAGUGGCGAAGGCGGCCUGCUGGACUGUAACUGACGUUGAGGCUCGAAAGCGUGGGGAGCGAACAGGAUUAGAUACCCUAGUAGUC